rnacentral:lncRNA from 1 species
CUUUGAUAGAUGAAAGCUCUCGGCUGUUUUCAGUUUUCCUUCCCUGUAAGUCACCCACUCUCCCUACUGGCCGGCAUCUGAGGUCGCCCCGCUACGCAGAGCUGGUUACCCAACCUCUGGCGACGACAGACAGGCCCAGAGCCUCUGGAGUUCAUCUGUACCACUGACAAGCCCAGGAUUUAUUUCCCUUUGCUCUAAUAAAGCUUGUUUCCUUCCUCAACACGAUACCGUUUCUUUUUGUAAUGGAAAGGGCUCGCAUUGCUGUUCCUCACCCACUGAAACCGCAAACGAUCACAUGGCUUACUCUGGUUCAUUCAGCAAACGGGUAUUAUUGUCACCAGGGGCUAGUCUUUCUGUUUUUUUUUUUUUUUUUUUAGAACCCAACUCAAGAAAAAGCUAAAUAUAGUCGGUUAUCAGUAAGAAGCAAAUAGGAAUCAAAGUCCAGGAAUUUCUGCUUCUUAGUUCUACGAUCAGCACCUGCCCAAACUAGGAACAUUUUUCAAUACUGUUGCUGUAUGUUGACACCAUGAGUUUUUUUUUUUUUCCCUCUCACAGAAGCUUUCAGCAGCAAACGGCUUUCCUUCUAGAGGACUCUACAUUAAAUCGGGGCAAAUAUCAGGGCAAACUAAAUUCCUCCCUCAUCACUUCCCUGGGUUGGUGACCUACACAGAAGAGCAGAGCAGUAACUGGACCAGCCAGAUCCAGCCCAGCUGAGCCCACGCACAGGAAGCGUGGGCUGUGAAGUGGCCACACCCCCAGCCGCUGCUCCAGAAGGCUCUCCCCGCACAGGCCUAGCCUCACAAGCGUGUGAGUUGGGAACACGCCACCGAGGGAGGCGGAGAGGCCGCGGACCACUUCUCCUGCAGCAGCAAGGCGCUUCCGGUGAUGUGCACGGCAAGGCGUCCCUGAAGCCAACAGCCCAUUACAGGGAGAGUUAACCCAUAAAGCGGGAUGGAUCACAAGAAGGAGCUCCAGUCCCAUUUGGUUUAAACAAACAGCUCGGAGUCACAGAAAGCACCAGGUUUGCAUCUGAGAGCUGUGUUCACGCCCGCUUCUUUCACAAGAUGCUGAUGGGUACGCGAUGAGCCCACUCUACCUGGGCUAUAGUUUGAUCCGCUCAGUGUUCAUAACCUGGGGGAUGAGAAAACACCUCCCAGAUCCACCAAGGGAAACGGUACCACUGCAUUAAAUAGGCAAGAAGUUCAGGAUAAGCAUACUUUAGGGCUUUACACAAUGGAAUGACGCUGCUGCACGACAGACAACAAAACACAUAACGUGCAUGUAUGAAUAUGAUGGAUGCGUUCUUUGCAUUCGCAGCAAGAAAGUGGAAACAACUUAAGCUUCUUUUCUUGUGUCCUGAAGUAAAAUUCAUGAAGAACUUCUCCAAACAUUCCUCACCAAAACCCUCUCACACUUACAAAGAGGUUCUAAAACUAGAGGUGAAGCAAAACUCUCUAGAGCUGUGGCUCAGACACUUGAGCAUCACUUCAGAGUCAUUUCAAAUACUCAGGAGAUUUGUAUACACAUUAAUGUUUGAGAAGCACCGGCCUAUAGCACUUUUUCAAUUAAGCUUUUCCUUUUUUUUCUGUAAAAAAAAAUUUUUUUUUUAACUGAGGUAUAGGUUUGUUUUGUUUUUAUGGCCCCACCUGCAGCAUAUGGAAGUUCCCAGUCCAGGGGUCGAAUUGGAGCUGCAGCUGAGGCCUAUGCUGAAGCUUGUGGCAACACCAGAUCCUUAACCCACGGAGCGAGGCCAGGGAUCAACCCUCCAUCCUCACGGAAACAAUGUCGGGGUCUUAGCCCAAGGAGCCGCAACGGGAACUCCUCGAGUAAGCUUUAAUUACAUACAAGAGCUAGACUCUGAGUGAACUCCAUGUUACAGUUCAUUAGAACAGGGUGGAGGCUGCUUUGUCAGAUACGAGGAGGCUUUCCUUCAUCUGUGGCUUGACGCUACCUAAGCAACCAUCGCCAGUGUCGGGGUUUAGCACACCACACGCACUGAAGGCAAAGGGUACGGGGAUGUUCUCAGGUCGUCAGCAUUAAUGUCUCAACAGGACUUACUUAAGAAACUAGUCCUCAAAGUCAGAACUUCUAAAUUUUGUCGUCAGUGCUUCUCAAGCUUUGGCAGGCCUGAGAAUCACCAGGGGAAUUUGUUUUAAAAGGAAGAUAGUAAGGUCUCACCACCCAGGAGUCCUAUUAGGUUCAUCAGGAGUGAUUCUAGCAAUUCUAAGAAACGUGACAUCGGGGCUGGGAUUAGAAGGCACCCAGGGCACAUUUAGGGAAGUACUUACCCUCAGGUGCAAGCAAAUGCAAGACUGCCACCUGAGCAAACCUGACUGUAUGUGCCUCCUUAAAUGUCACAUUCAGGGCAUCUCGCUGGACUCAUCCUGGUCUUGGGCUUGUAUUGGGUGAGUCCAUGGACCAGCAGCACCAGCACAGUCUGGAGCCUUUUUAGAAAUACAGAAUCGUGGCCUAACUCCAGGACCACUGAAUCAGAAUCUGCAGGUUAACAAGAUUCUCAAGUUACUCUUUCAUUAAUUUUUUUUAGGGCCGCACCCGUGGCACAUGGAGGUUCCCAGGCUAGGGUCCAAUCGGAGCUACAGCUGCUGGCCUACGCCACAGCCACAGCAACGCGGGAUCCUCAACCCACUGAGUGAGGCCAGGGAUCAAACCCACGUCCUCAUGGAUGCUAGUCAGCUUCAUUACCGCUAAGCCAUGACGGGAAAUCCUCUCAGGUUAUUUCUUGUGCACACUGAAGUUUGAGAAACACUGAAAAUAAGGGGAUGCCCAAACAAAGUCUUGCAACUGACACGAAAAUGCUAAGCUCUUUGUAACACAACAUGAUACAGGAACGUGAGCAGCGGCUGCCCACUGAGCUCAAAGGACAGCCCUACACUGACCAGCAGUUUUGUCGCUCUCUCUUAACCCCUGGCCUGAAUAACGACAUGAAAGAGAUGCUUGUUAAUCUGCAGGUGGAAUAAAACAAGAGGCUGCUGGUGCAAAAAGAAAGAACCAGGCCAUCUUGACAGGCCGGAGGACAGGUCGCACGCUGAACUAUAAUAAGUGUAGGAAAAAUUUUACACUUAAGCUAAAAAUUUCAAUAAUGAAUGUAUAUAAGAUGUGUGACAGUUUGCCUGGCAGCAAAACCUAUGAAAGAUCCUGGGAAUAAGUCCGGAAGUAAAUCAUGCAUUUAAUAUAAUGGCAUUUCACAUCAGUGGGAGAAAAUGAAUAAUUUAAUAAAUGGUGUUGGAAUAAUCGGGUAGCUAACCGGGAAAAAAAAUGAAAGUGUACCUCCACCCGCACGUCUUACAGCAAAAUGAAUUCCCGAAGGAUCGAAGAGUUAAACAUAAAAGCAAAUCUAUUACAGUAUGAGAAGAAAAUAUGAGGAAAACUUUCAAAAAAUAACCUCAGAGUGGGUGAGGCCUCUCUAAGCAAGAACAACAUCCGAAUGAUAUAAACAAAACCCAGAGGCUCUUUUUUAAAAGUGGAGACCUUUGACUGUAUCAAGAAAAGCACCUGCUGAGAACUAUGUCUAGAUACUCAUGCUGCAACAGAACGAAGGGUGGGGAAAAAAAAAUGUAAUGUAUACAUGUAAGGAUAACUUGAUCCCCUUGCUGUACAGUGGGAAAAUAAAAUU